rnacentral:rRNA from 1 species
UCGGGAAUUUUGGGCAAUGGGGGAAACCCUGACCCAGCAACGCCGCGUGCGGGAAGAAGGCCUUCGGGUUGUAAACCGCUUUUGUCAGGGAAGAAACGCUCCGGGCCAAUACCUUGGGGUAAUGACGGUACCUGAAGAAUAAGCACCGGCUAACUACGUGCCAGCAGCCGCGGUAAUACGUAGGGUGCAAGCGUUAAUCGGAAUUACUGGGCGUAAAGCGUGCGCAGGCGGUCUUGCAAGACAGAUGUGAAAUCCCCGGGCUUAACCUGGGAACUGCAUUUGUGACUGCAAGGCUGGAGUACGGCAGAGGGGGAUGGAAUUCCGCGUGUAGCAGUGAAAUGCGUAGAUAUGCGGAGGAACACCGGUGGCGAAGGCAAUCCCCUGGGCCUGUACUGACGCUCAUGCACGAAAGCGUGGGGAGCAAACAGGAUUAGAUACCCUUGUAGUCCCUGAGCGGGCUGGCAAGGCGCAU